rnacentral:tRNA from 1 species
ACCGAAAUAGCACAGUUGGUAGAGCGUUAGACUGUACAUCGAAAGGUCCCUGAUUCGAUCCUGGGAUUCGGCA